GACAUAGGGUGCAAGCGUUGUUCGGAAUUACUGGGCGUAAAGCGCGUGUAGGCUGCUUCGCAAGUCGGAUGUGAAAGCCCUGGGCUCAACCCAGGAAGUGCAUUCGAAACUGCAGAGCUGGAGUCCUGGAGAGGAAGGCGGAAUUCUCGGUGUAGAGGUGAAAUUCGUAGAUAUCGAGAGGAACACCGGUGGCGAAGGCGGCCUUCUGGACAGUGACUGACGCUGAGACGCGAAAGCGUGGGGAGCAAACAGG
rnacentral:rRNA from 1 species